CUACUACUCCCUCCGUCCGAAAAUACUUGUCAUUGAAAUGGAUGUAUCUAGAUGUAUUUUAGUUCUAGACACAUCCAUUUUGAUGAUAAGUAAUUCCGGACGAAGGGAGUAUUAU
rnacentral:pre_miRNA from 1 species